AGAGUUUGAUCAUGGCUCAGAUUGAACGCUGGCGGCAUGCCUUACACAUGCAAGUCGAGCGGCAGCGCGGGGGCAACCCUGGCGGCGAGCGGCGAACGGGUGAGUAAUGCAUCGGAACGUGUCCUUUUGUGGGGGAUAACCAGUCGAAAGACUGGCUAAUACCGCAUGAGAUCGCAAGAUGAAAGCAGGGGACCGCAAGGCCUUGCGCGAGAGGAGCGGCCGAUGCCCGAUUAGCUAGUUGGUGAGGUAACGGCUCACCAAGGCGACGAUCGGUAGCUGGUUUGAGAGAACGACCAGCCACACUGGGACUGAGACACGGCCCAGACUCCUACGGGAGGCAGCAGUGGGGAAUUUUGGACAAUGGGGGAAACCCUGAUCCAGCCAUGCCGCGUGUGUGAAGAAGGCCUUCGGGUUGUAAAGCACUUUCGGACGGAACGAAAUCGCACGGGUGAAUAUCCCGUGUGGAUGACGGUACCGUAAGAAAGAAGC
rnacentral:rRNA from 1 species